rnacentral:rRNA from 1 species
UGGGCACUCUAAAGUGACUGCCGGUGCAAGCCGGAGGAAGGUGGGGAUGACGUCAAAUCAUCAUGCCCCUUAUGACCUGGGCUACACACGUGCUACAAUGGAUAGUACAAAGGGUCGCGAAGCCGCGAGGUGGAGCUAAUCCCAUAAAACUAUUCUCAGUUCGGAUUGUAGGCUGCAACUCGCCUACAUGAAGCCGGAAUCGCUAGUAAUCGUGGAUCAGCAUGCCACGGUGAAUACGUUCCCGGGCCUUGUACACACCGCCCGUCACACCACGAGAGUUUGUAACACCCGAAGUCGGUAGGGUAACCUUUAUGGAGCCAGCCGCCGAAGGUGGGACAGAUAAUUGGGGUGAAGUCGUAACAAGGUAGCCGUAUCGGAAGGUGCGGCUGGAUCACCUCCUUUCUAAGGAA